GAUGAACGCUGGCGGCGUGCCUAAUACAUGCAAGUCGAGCGAACAGACGAGAAGCUUGCUUCUCUGAUGUUAGCGGCGGACGGGUGAGUAACACGUGGAUAACCUACCUAUAAGACUGGGAUAACUUCGGGAAACCGGAGCUAAUACCGGAUGAUAUUUUGAACCGCAUGGUUCAAUAGUGAAAGACGGUUUUGCUGUCACUUAUAGAUGGAUCCGCGCUGCAUUAGCUAGUUGGUAAGGUAACGGCUUACCAAGGCAACGAUGCGUAGCCGACCUGAGAGGGUGAUCGGCCACACUGGAACUGAGACACGGUCCAGACUCCUACGGGAGGCAGCAGUAGGGAAUCUUCCGCAAUGGGCGAAAGCCUGACGGAGCGACGCCGCGUGAGUGAUGAAGGUCUUCGGAUCGUAAAACUCUGUUAUUAGGGAAGAACAUAUGUGUAAGUAACUGUGCACAUCUUGACGGUACCUAAUCAGAAAGCCACGGCUAACUACGUG
rnacentral:rRNA from 1 species